ACAACAAAAAUAACAAGACGCACCCCAUGACAAGAACAACACCACGGCUCUAGCAUAAGAAAGACAAUAAUCGCAGAGACGCAGCUAACUGAUUUCUUUGGAGAGGAACGCCAGCGGGCUUGUACCGCAACCGGGUCGAUAACAAUAAAAUCGCGUUUUAACGCAACGACAGUCGGGUUGGAUCUCAGGAUCAAGGCAACAUCAGCGUCCAAACAAAUCCGUUCGCUCCUGGCCUCCGUUGGAGGCCGCGGCUAAAACAAGAACAACAGGCCGGUAGCACUAACAAGAACGAUGAUGCAGAUACGAUUGGGGGAGUUUAGGCUCCCCUUUCUGCUUUCUGGCAUUCAGCUCUCCCAGCAUCU
rnacentral:sRNA from 1 species